GGAAGACGGUGGUCUCUUGUAAGUCGUCCUCUUCCCUAAAACCUGGAUUUUGCCAGAGUUUUUCAUAAACUCAAGAUGGACUUUACUUUUUACAUUCUUACAUUUGUGAUCAGUACGCAAAUAUAUCUCAGUACCGGGGAAGCUUGUGAUGUGAAUCAGGUUGAAUUCGAUGGGUCCUUGUACCAUUUCUCUCGAAACCCGUCUGACUUUUACACAUCGAAAGUCUCUUGCGAGGAUCUGGGAAUGCAUCUGGUCUUGAUAGGAUCAAAGCUAGAACAGGACUUCUUGGUCUACAACCUACCCGACAAUAGCUCAGAAUACUGGAUAGGACUAGACAGUGUGACUUGGCAAGACGGUUCAAACUUGACUUACAACAGGUUCAGAGGAUAUUUCUAUGAUUUUGAUGAAGGAGGAACUUAUUUCGUAAUGCAUAUACCGUUCCCAACCUAUUGGCGUGAUGACAUCAUCGACAACAAGCAUAAUUGCAUUUGCGAAAAAGAGGGCGGUGAGUACUGAAGAUUGUGAUUCAGAUAUCAUUUAAACAUACACGAGGGUUAAUCUGUGUUGAACUAGUUGUGCCAGGCCCCUGAAAAUCCAAUCGCGCUAACCUGAAAUCUCCUCAC